rnacentral:misc_RNA from 1 species
GAUGAAGAACGUAGCGAAAUGCGAUACGUAAUGUGAAUUGCAAAUUCAGUGAAUCAUCGAAUCUUUGAACGCACAUUGCGCCCUCUGGUAUUCCGGGGGGCAUGCCUGUUCGAGCGUCAUUAUAACCACUCAAGCUCUCGCUUGGUAUUGGGGUUCGCGGUUCCGCGGCCCCUAAAAUCAGUGGCGGUGCCUGUCGGCUCUACGCGUAGUAAUACUCCUCGCGAUUGAGUCCGGUAGGUCUACUUGCCAGCAACCCCCAAUUUUUACAGGUUGACCUCGGAUCAGGUAGGGAUACCCGCUGAACUUAAGCAUAUCAAUAAGCGGAGGA